GUAUUUUUUUUUUUAAAGUUAAAAAUUCUGGUUGCUUAAACAACAGUUAAUAGAACUUAAUAGAAGGACUUAAUAGGACUAAAAUCCAUAAUAAUAGGAAUUAAAUCCUAUAAAUAGGAGUUAUUAGGACUGAUAAUCUAUAAAUGCAACAGAAAGGAUUUAAGAACUUGCCACCAAUAGUAAAAGCAGUAAUUAUGAAAGUAAUAAAAAUAUUAUGCUGGUAUUUAGAGAAGACCUAGUCGAUGGACUGUUAAAUGUUCAGUACUCUAACAAGAGUAACUACAUUUUAAUCACUUUUGUGUAGAUCUUAUAAUACAAGUUAUGACGCUAUUGAAAAUGCCUUAAAACUUAGAUGUUACUAUAAAAUUAGAUUAUAAUUGCAGUGUAUUUCAAGAUAUUACGCUUUAUAAAAUCUAAUGUUCAAAGAAAUUAUGACAAUGGCUCAUGUUAGAAACUUUUGGGGACUGCUUAUUAGUGUUUUUUGAAUACUAAGCUUCAAUACUUGAAUACUAAGGUUUUCUAGGUUUAUAACUGCAAUUUGAAUUGCAAAGCAAUAAAGCUUGUGUGAUGGCAAUAAUUAACUCUUAUCAGAAAAAAAAAUUACAAAACUAAAUAUAAGACAAAUUUGAUGAUAAGCUCGCAGCAUUGUUUUCAGACGGUAAAUAAAUCUAAAUUUUAUUUGGAAAAGAAGUAGAAUGCAACAUUCAAAAAGUGACUUUUAGAUCAAGUCUGUAUAUCUGUCGAAAACCCAAUUCUAAAGUUAAAGCAAUGCUAUAGCCGAACCCAUACCUCAAUCUCUCUGAAUAUAUAUAUGUCAAAGAUCCAUCUACAAAUUUGGACAUUUUCUUUAUUUCUUUUUGUUAAGGCUUUACCUGAAUAUUUGCUGCCUAUAAUUUUUUUCAAAAAAAAACAUGACUAAA